GCCUGGGUGGCUCAGUUGGUUGAGCAUCUGACUUCGGCUCAGGUCAUGAUCUCGUACUCUGUGAGUUCAAGCCCCACGUCGGGCU
rfam:Felis catus isolate Cinnamon breed Abyssinian chromosome A1, whole genome shotgun sequence.